AUUCUUUUAGUAUAAAAAGUAUAUUUAACUUCCAAUUAAAAGGUCUUAUUAAGAAAGAAUA
rnacentral:tRNA from 1 species